rnacentral:rRNA from 1 species
GACGAACGCUGGCGGCGUGCUUAACACAUGCAAGUCGAACGGUGAAGCUCCAGCUUGCUGGAGUGGAUCAGUGGCGAACGGGUGAGUAACACGUGAGCAACCUGCCCCUGACUCUGGAAUAAGCGCUGGAAACGGCGUCUAAUACUGGAUACGAGAAGGGUCCGCAUGGGCACUUUCUGGAAAGUUUUUCGGUUGGGGAUGGGCUCGCGGCCUAUCAGCUUGUUGGUGAGGUAAUGGCUCACCAAGGCGACGACGGGUAGCCGGCCUGAGAGGGCGACCGGCCACACUGGGACUGAGAGACGGCCCAGAAUCCUACGGGAGGCAGCAGUGGGGAAUAUUGCACAAUGGGCGAAAGCCUGAUGCAGCGACGCCGCGUGAGGGAUGACGGCCUUCGGGUUGUAAACCUCUUUCAGCAGGGAAGAAGCGAAAGUGACGGUACCUGCAGAAGAAGCACCGGCUAACUACGUG